AGUCGCACGAGAACGCCCCGACUUUUGUCGGGGCAAGUACAGUGGCGGACGGGUGCGUAACGCGUAGAUAACCUGCCCUCAGGCGCGGGACAACCACGGGAAACCGUGGCUAAUACCGCACGUCGUCUGGACCCCGCAUGGGGACCAGAUGAAACCCCGACUUUUGUCGGGGGCCUUUGGAUGGGUCUGCGUCGGAUUAGCUUGUUGGUGAGGUAACGGCUCACCAAGGUGACGAUCCGUAGCUGGUCUGAGAGGACGAUCAGUCACACUGGGACUGAGACACGGCCCAGACUCCUACGGGAGGCAGCAGUGGGGAAUCUUGCACAAUGGGGGCAACCCUGAUGCAGCCAUGCCGCGUGGAGGAAGACACCCCUAUGGGGCGUAAACUCCUUUUCUGAGAGAAGAAACCCCUGUAGGUUCAGGGUGUGACGGUAUCUCAGGAAUAAGCACCGGCUAACUCCGUGCCAGCAGCCGCGGUAAUACGGAGGGUGCAAGCGUUGUCCGGAAUCACUGGGCGUAAAGGGUGCGCAGGCGGGGCAGCAAGUCGGAGGUGAAAGCCCAUGGCUCAACCAUGGAAGUGCCUUCGAAACUGUUGCUCUUGAGUCCCGGAGAGGCUGCCGGAAUUCGUGGUGUAGCGGUGAAAUGCGUAGAGAUCACGAGGAACACCAGAGGCGAAAGCGGGCAGCUGGACGGGUUACUGACGCUC
rnacentral:rRNA from 1 species